rnacentral:rRNA from 1 species
GACAGAGGGUGCAAACGUUGUUCGGAAUUACUGGGCGUAAAGCGCGUGUAGGCGGCUAAGUAAGUCGGGCGUGAAAUCCCACGGCUCAACCGUGGAAGUGCACUCGAAACUGCAUAGCUAGAGUCCUGGAGAGGAAGGUGGAAUGCUUGGUGUAGAGGUGCAAUUCGUAGAUAUCAAGCGGAACACCGGUGGCGAAGGCGGCCUUCUGGACAGUGACUGACGCUGAGACGCGAAAGCGUGGGGAGCAAACAGG